AUUGAACGCUGGCGGCAGGCCUAACACAUGCAAGUCGAGCGGAUCAGAUGAGCUUGCUCUUCCAUUCAGCGGCGGACGGGUGAGUCAUGCCGACGAUUCUGCCUGGUUGUGGGGGACAACGUCUCGAAAGGGACGCUAAAACCGCAUACGUCCUACGGGAGAAAGCAGGGGACGGUCGCGGCUUGCGCUAUCAGAUGAGCCCAGGUCGGAUUAGCUUGUUGGUGAGGUAAGGGCUCACCAAGGCGACGAUCCGUAACUGAUCUGAGAGGAUGAGCGGCCACACUGGAACUGAGACACGGUCCAGACUCCUACGGGAGGCAGCAGUGGGGAAUAUUGGGCAAUGGGCGAAAGCCUGAUCCAGCCAUGCCGCGUGUGUGAAGAAGGUCUUCGGAUUGUAAAGCACUUUAAGUUGGGAAGAAGGGCAGUCAGCGAAUACUUGGUUGUUUUGACGUUACCGACAGAAUAAGCACCGGCUAACUCUGUGCCAGCAGCCGCCGUAAAAC
rnacentral:rRNA from 1 species